rfam:Acremonium chrysogenum ATCC 11550 scaffold21, whole genome shotgun sequence.
UCCUCCGUGGCCCAGCUGGCUAAGGCGUCCGGCUGUUAUUCAAUAUGCAACCGGAAGAUCGACAGUUCGAUCCUGUCCGGGGGAG